rnacentral:rRNA from 4 species
GACGAACGCUGGCGGCGUGCUUAACACAUGCAAGUCGAACGGAAAGGCCCUGCUUUUGUGGGGUGCUCGAGUGGCGAACGGGUGAGUAACACGUGAGUAACCUGCCCUUGACUUUGGGAUAACUUCAGGAAACUGGGGCUAAUACCGGAUAGGAGCUCCUGCUGCAUGGUGGGGGUUGGAAAGUUUCGGCGGUUGGGGAUGGACUCGCGGCUUAUCAGCUUGUUGGUGGGGUAGUGGCUUACCAAGGCUUUGACGGGUAGCCGGCCUGAGAGGGUGACCGGCCACAUUGGGACUGAGAUACGGCCCAGACUCCUACGGGAGGCAGCAGUGGGGAAUAUUGCACAAUGGGCGGAAGCCUGAUGCAGCAACGCCGCGUGCGGGAUGACGGCCUUCGGGUUGUAAACCGCUUUCGCCUGUGACGAAGCGUGAGUGACGGUAAUGGGUAAAGAAGCACCGGCUAACUACGUG